UACGGAGGGUGCAAGCGUUAUCCGGAUUCACUGGGUUUAAAGGGUGCGUAGGCGGUUUAGAAAGUCCGUUGUGAAAUCUCUGAGCUUAACUCGGAAAUUGCGGUGGAUACGAUUAGUCUUGAAUACUGUGGAGGUUAGCGGAAUAUGUCAUGUAGCGGUGAAAUGCAUAGAUAUGACAUAGAACACCAAUUGCGAAGGCAGCUGGCUGCACAGAUAUUGACGCUGAGGCACGAAAGCGUGGGGAUCAAACAGG
rnacentral:rRNA from 1 species